CUUUUGACCUUCACUAACACUCAGGAUUAAUUUAGGUUUGCAGUCGUUAAUUUGCUACUGAUAUUUAAAAAAUAAUAAUAAAGUUUCAUUUUUUUAAAUUUGCGAUAAUACAUAAAUACGUAUCAACCAAUAUUUUUUAUACGAUUUGGUUUUAUAAUUAAUUAAUAAAAUUUACAUUUAUUUUCGAAAUGGAAUCUUCUUGACAGUAAUUCAGAAACGACCAGUUUUUGUCCCGAGUGUACCUCCGUUUAUCGUCAAGUGGACGUUUUUUAUGGUAAAUUGGCACCAUUUAUUGUCAAAAUUGGGCAUAAUUUACGAUUUAAACCAACAGGUCAAGUUUAUGUGAAAAAAGAAGAAAUUGAAAUCAAAUAUGAAAUUGACGAUAUUAUGCACAUACAUACAAAACGUAUUAGAUAGGUGAUGAUCAUUCUGAUCCAGAUAACUGUGAUGAUAAUCAAAAUCGAGAUAAAAAAUCGUCACCAUUAUCGGACAGUAUUUUUGAGGAUAAGGAGACUUUUUGAAGAUGGCGAUAUGAAAGACCUGCUGGAGCACCUCGGUGAAUGGAGGAAAGGGAGGAACAAAUUGGAACGAUGGCGAGCCAGGACGUGGCAUUGUUUGUUAGUGUGGAAAACCAAAAUCGUUUCGUUUUCGUGGCUUCUAGCGCCACUCUGACCGCGCCGUACUUUUCGGGUUGUUUCAAGGGUGGAAAGGGAGGAGACGGUGGAGGUCGAAGGGAAUAAAUAAAUUAUUUUAUAUGAUUAUUUAAUUGUUAAAAGUUAUUGUAAGGCAUGAAAAGAUGUUGAGUAAGUAAAAUAUACUUUUUUUUGCGAAU